UGCCGGUGCAAGCCGGAGGAAGGUGGGGAUGACGUCAAAUCAUCAUGCCCCUUAUGACCUGGGCUACACACGUGCUACAAUGGAUGGUACAAAGGGUCGCGAAGCCGCGAGGUGGAGCCAAUCCCAUAAAACCAUUCUCAGUUCGGAUUGUAGGCUGCAACUCGCCUACAUGAAGCCGGAAUCGCUAGUAAUCGUGGAUCAGCAUGCCACGGUGAAUACGUUCCCGGGCCUUGUACACACCGCCCGUCACACCACGAGAGUUUGUAACACCCGAAGUCGGUAGGGUAACCUUUAUGGAGCCAGCCGCCGAAGGUGGGACAGAUAAUUGGGGUGAAGUCGUAACAAGGUAGCCGUAUCGGAAGGUGCGGCUGGAUCACCUCCUUUCUAAGGAA
rnacentral:rRNA from 2 species